rnacentral:rRNA from 1 species
GAUCAUGGCUCAGGAUGAACGCUAGCUACAGGCUUAACACAUGCAAGUCGGGGGGAAACGACAUCGAAAGCUUGCUUCCGAUGGGCGUCGACCGGCGCACGGGUGAGUAACGCGUAUCCAACCUGCCCACCGACUUGGGGAUAACCUUGCGAAAGUAAGACUAAUACCCAAUGAUAUCUCUAGAAGACAUCUGAAAGAGAUUAAAGAUUUAUCGGUUGAUGGAUGGGGAUGCGU